UAGGGAAUCUUCCACAAUGGACGCAAGUCUGAUGGAGCAACGCCGCGUGAGUGAAGAAGGUUUUCGGAUCGUAAAGCUCUGUUGUUGGUGAAGAAGGAUAGAGGCAGUAACUGGUCUUUAUUUGACGGUAAUCAACCAGAAAGUCACGGCUAACUACGUCCCAG
rnacentral:rRNA from 1 species